GCGAUCGAUAGAUAUGUCCCGUUAUUUAGAUUACGAUGAGUUAAAACAUGAUCUUGCCCGUAUGUUCAGCAUUGAGGGACAGCUUGAAGAUCGACAGAGGGUUGGAUGGAAACUAGUAUAUGUUGAUCAUGAAAAUGAUGUUCUACUUGUGGGGGACGACCCAUGGGAGGAGUUUGUUAAUUGUGUCCGGUGCAUCAAAAUACUGUCCCCGCAAGAAGUCCAGCAAAUGAGAAUGGACGGUGAUCUAGGGAGCAACAUUCAGGCAUGCAGCAGUUCGGAUGGUGGAAAUGCAUGGAGGGGACAACCCGAGCAAAUCUCGGGCAACCAUUCUGC
rnacentral:misc_RNA from 1 species